UACAGAGGUCUCAAGCGUUUGUUCGGAUUCAUUGGGCGUAAAGGGUGCGUAGGCGGCGCGGUAAGUCGGGUGUGAAAUCUUGGAGCUUAACUCCGAAACUGCAUUCGAUACUGCCGUGCUUGAGUCCGGGAGAGGUGAGUGGAAUUCCCAGUGUAGAGGUGAAAUUCGUAGAUAUUCGGAAGAACACCAGUGGCGAAGGCGGCUCACUGGCCCCGGUACUGGACGCUGAGGAGCGAAAAGCGUGGGGAGCGAACAGG
rnacentral:rRNA from 1 species